UAACGCGUGGGCAACCUGCCUCAUACAGGGGGAUAGCAUCGGGAAACUGGUGGUAAAACCGCAUAAGCGCACGAAGACGCAUGUAUUCGUGUGAAAAGGAGAAAUCUGGUAUGAGAUGGACCCGCGUCUGAUUAGCUAGUUGGAGUGGUAAAAGCACACCAAGGCGACGAUCAGUAGCCGGCCUGAGAGGGUGGACGGCCACAUUGGGACUGAGACACGGCCCAGACUCCUACGGAAGGCAGCAG
rnacentral:rRNA from 1 species